GAUGAACGCUGGCGGCGUGCCUAAUACAUGCAAGUCGAGCGAACAGAUGAGAAGCUUGCUUCUCUGAUGUUAGCGGCGGACGGGUGAGUAACACGUGGGUAACCUACCUAUAAGACUGGGAUAACUCCGGGAAACCGGGGCUAAUACCGGAUAAUAUUUUGAACCGCAUGGUUCAAUAGUGAAAGACGGUUUCGGCUGUCACUUAUAGAUGGACCCGAGCCGUAUUAGCUAGUUGGUAAGGUAACGGCUUACCAAGGCGACGAUACGUAGCCGACCUGAGAGGGUGAUCGGCCACACUGGAACUGAGACACGGUCCAGACUCCUACGGGAGGCAGCAGUAGGGAAUCUUCCGCAAUGGGCGAAAGCCUGACGGAGCAACGCCGCGUGAGUGAUGAAGGUCUUCGGAUCGUAAAACUCUGUUGUUAGGGAAGAACAAAUUUGUUAGUAACUGAACAAGUCUUGACGGUACCUAACCAGAAAGCCACGGCUAACUACGUGCCAGCCGCCGCAGUAACAC
rnacentral:rRNA from 1 species